UACGAAGGGGGCUAGCGUUGUUCGGAAUCACUGGGCGUAAAGGGCGCGUAGGCGGCUUUAUAAGUCGGGGGUGAAAGCCUGUGGCUCAACCACAGAAUUGCCUUCGAUACUGUAUGGCUUGAGACCGGAAGAGGUAAGUGGAACUGCGAGUGUAGAGGUGAAAUUCGUAGAUAUUCGCAAGAACACCAGUGGCGAAGGCGGCUCACUGGCCCGGUACUGACGCUGAGGUGCGAAAGCGUGGGGAGCAAACAGGG
rnacentral:rRNA from 1 species